rnacentral:rRNA from 1 species
UGGCGGACGGGUGAGUAAUGUCUGGGAAACUGCCCGAUGGAGGGGGAUAACUACUGGAAACGGUAACUAAUACCGCAUAAUGUCUACGGACCAAAGCGGGGGACCUCCGGGCCUCGCGCCAUCAGAUGAACCCAUAUGGGAUUAGCUAGUAGGUAAGGUAACGGCUUACCUAGGCGACGAUCCCUAGCUGGUCUGAGAGGAUGAUCAGCCACACUGGGACUGAGACACGGCCCAG